CGAACGGUCGCGGCGGCGACAGCUACCGCUUCGGAGGAAGCGGCUGUGGAGAAGGAAGAAGGGAAGCUGGACGGGGCGGGAGUCAAAACCGGGACCCUCGUCAUGGGUCCGCGAACCUAGAGCGGCGGAAGGUACCGGCCGGGAGCCGAGCUGGCCGCCGUUCCUUCCUGUGGCCCCCAUGGCUGAGGACUGGCUGGACUGCCCGGCCCUGGGCCCUGGCUGGAAGCGCCGUGAGGUCUUUCGAAAGUCAGGUGCCACCUGCGGACGCUCAGACACCUAUUACCAGAGCCCCACAGGAGACAGGAUCCGAAGCAAAGUUGAGCUCACCCGAUACCUGGGCCCUGCGUGUGACCUCUCCCUCUUUGACUUCAAACAAGGCAUCUUGUGCUAUCCAGCCCCUAAGGCCCAUUCCUUGGCUGUCCCCAGCAGGAAGCGGAAGAAGCCUUCAAAGCCAGCCAAGGCUCGGAAACGUCAGGUUGGCCCCCAAAAGAGUGAGGUCAGGAAGGAGACCCCAAGGGAUGAGACCAAGGCUGACGCUAACCCAGCCCCAGCUUCACUUCCUGCACCUGGGUGCUGUGAGAACUGUGGAAUCAGCUUCUCAGGGGAUGGUACCCGAAGGCAGAGGCUCAAGACUUUGUGCAAGGACUGCCGAGCACAGAGAAUUGCUUUCAACCGGGAGCAGAGGAUGUUUAAGCGUGUGGGCUGUGGGGAGUGCACAGCCUGCCAGGUAACAGAAGACUGUGGGGCCUGCUCCACCUGCCUUCUGCAGUUGCCCCAUGACGUGGCAUCGGGGCUGUUCUGCAAGUGUGAGCAAAGACGGUGCCUCCGGAUUGUGGAAAGGAGCCGAGGAUGUGGAGUAUGCCGGGGCUGUCAGACCCGAGAGGACUGUGGGCGUUGUCGAGUCUGCCUUCGCCCUCCCCGCCCUGGUCUCAGGCGCCAGUGGAAGUGCGUCCAGCGGCGUUGCUUACGGCACCUUGCCCAUCGCCUCCGUCGCCACCAUCAGCGAUGUCAACGACGCCCUUCCCUAGCUGUGGCUCCCCCUGCUGGUAAACAUGGCCGCCGCAGGGGAGGCUGUGACUCCAAGGUAGCUCCACGGCGGCGGUCCCGAGCACAGCCACUGCCUCCGCUUCUCCCGUCACAGCCUCCAGAGUCUCCAGAGCUGCACCCCAGAACCCUGGCCCCCUUGCCACGUGCCGAAUUCAUCUAUUACUGUGUAGACGAGGACGAGCUACAGCCUUAUACGAACCGCCGGCAGAAUCGCAAGUGUGGGGCCUGUACAGCCUGCCUGCGGCGGAUGGACUGUGGCCACUGUGACUUCUGCUGUGACAAGCCCAAAUUUGGGGGCAGCAACCAGAAGCGCCAGAAAUGUCGUUGGCGCCAAUGCCUGCAGUUUGCUAUGAAGCGGCUGCUGCCAAGUGUCUGGGCAGGGUCUGAGGAUGGGUCAGAGCCGCCCCCACCUUACCCUCGUCGAAAAAGGCCUUGCUCUACUCGAAGGCCUCGUCUGGGUCAGACCCUGAAGCCUCCCUUGGCCACACCUACAGCCCGACGAGACCAUACCCAGACUUCAAUGAAGCAGGAAACGGGCGGUGGCUUUGUGCUGCCCCCACCUGGCACUGACCUUGUGUUCUUACGGGAGGGUGCAAGCAGUCCUGUGCAGGUGCCUGGCCCAGCUCCAGCUUCCACAGAAGCUUUGUUGCAGGAGGCCCAGUGCCCUGGCCUGAGUUGGGUUGUGGCCUUACCCCAGGUGAAGCAAGAGAAGGCGGAUGCCCAGGAAGACUGGACACCGGGCACAGCCAUCCUGACUUCUCCUGUAUUGCUGCCGGGCUGCCCCAGCAAGACAGUAGAUCCAGGCCUUCCAGCUGUGAAGCAAGAGCCACCUGACCCUGAGGAGGACAAGGAGGAGAACAAGGAUGACUCUGCCUCUGACUUGGCCCCAGAGGAGGAGGCAGGAGGGGCUGGCACGCCCGUGAUCACGGAGAUUUUCAGCCUGGGUGGAACCCGCCUCCGGGACACAGCAGUCUGGUUGCCAAGGUCCAAGGACCUUAAAAAACCUGGAGCUAGAAAGCAGUAGACUGGAGGCUUCUGCAGACUGUAGGACUCAAGGUGAUAUUUACAGACCGACUCUAUGAGAGACAACACUGAUCUGCUCAGAGGCCGGACCAUAGAUGGAUUGCCAGGGCUUGUGUGGGAAUCAAUAGGAACUGGGAAAACCUACCACCAAAUACGAGGAGCAGGCCUGCUCAGUACUUUGAGCUUAUAGAGGAAGUAAGCAGAAAAGGAAAAAAAGAGUAGAAAGUUGUUCUGUCUGCUCCAAUCGGUGCAAAUCCCAGGAGUCUGAGUGCUAAGAAGUGUGGAUAUUAAGGAGGGGGGGAGUUGGGGUGGGGGAGGGGAUGUAAUUUAAAGCCACCUUCAGCCUAAACAAGCCAUCAUCAUAAAUAAUUUUAAGUGGCUUUGGAUGAGACCUGGCAGUGUCUCUAAACAUUUCCUCAGGGAGACAGCAGUUGAGAAUGUAAUGUAAAUAAGUGAGGAAAGGAACUGCUCUUUGGUGAGUUCCUCUUAUGGACCUAAUUUAUUUAAUACUCAAUAUAGUCUUUGUAGGAAGGCAUUGAUUUGGCCCCUUUUUGCAGACAGUAAAACUGAGACUCAAAUUAAAUAACUUGUCCAGUGUCAAACAGCUAGUGUUGAUAGAGCCUAGAAUCAAACCUAGGAUUGUAAAAGCCUUGUUCUAAGUUAAGCCACUAAACUGUAAACUAUAACCUAUAUCCAAUAGUGUAUAAUAAUGUUAUAGUAACAGAAGUUUCCAGUGACCUUGAAAACAAGAUGGAUUUCUCUAAGCAUUAAAACAAAUCCCUUACAUUGCUGCCCCGGGGAUGGUUUUAGGGAGUGCCAAGGCAGCGUGGAUGUGGAUGGUGUCACCUUAGCAGAGCAUCUGUGCCUCCCGAGACUGGGUUCUUCCCAGGACUUGGGUGCUGCAUAGAAUUUCUCAAACACUAAAGGGCAUCCUUUCCCACAGGCUGCUGCUUGUUAUAGUCACUUCCUAUCCUCAGCCAAAGCAAUCUUCAGAAGUAAAGCUCCUGACCUGGCUCAUCUUUCCUCACAAAUUGCGUCCCCUGUUCCUUGGUGACCUUUGUGCUUGGUUUCUGCUCUCAGCCCCUAUCUGCUAGGAAUCUGAGAUCCUGCUUCAAGUCCUGCCUAAGGGCUAGUCUUGGAGCUCAGCCCUGCCUCACUUUUUAUUCUUCAUAAAGUGCCAAAAAGAUUAGACCUGUGAUUCAUUACUUAGUUAGCUUUACAGGGCUGGAGCUGAGUGCAUGCCUCCAUAAAUUUGGUAGCCUCUCUGCCUCCCUUGCCUUACUCUAGUCCCAGCCCUGUAGCUUUAGAUAAUUCAGAUGUAGAUGAAACAUUUCUUCUAAUUCAUACAGUCCUCUGCUGCCCGCCUCUGCUCCUUCUUUUGCCUCACCCUACUUACUUCAGCCAGAGUCAAGACUGGAUAAUUGUUUUGCUGCCCCCAGGGUCCAGCCACCCAACCCCUAGUAUCCUGGUAAUUUUAACAGUAGUGUCCUAAGUGAAAGUUAUUUGAGUAGCAUUCUGACUCGAGAGAUAAAAGAGUGUGGUUACUGUGUGAAUCAGGAUACAAUCAGAAAAGCAGCACCACUAAUAUAAAGAUUAUACAUAUGUGUGUGUAUUUGUAUAUAUAAAGAUGUAUUAUUUUAAGGGAUUUAUUAUAGGGAUUGACCUUAUGCAGUGGUGGGAGCAUUGAACAGUCUCUUAAGGCUGUCGUCUUUGCAUCUAAUGCUGGAGCUUGAAGUCUGCAGGACAGGCAAUCGAGAAGGGAAGAAGGAUGUAAAGUGUGGGAGACCAAGGACACACUGGCGCCCAUGAGCACGAGCUGGAACCCACGAGGAUGGCCUGGAACCCAUGUCAGCCUCUCCCCACCUCCAACUUCGAUGAUAUGGGUGUCCUGCAGAAGAAGCUGGUGCCCUUCAUCACAGAGUUAAAUAUGCAUCUGGCCUAGGAAUUAGAGAAGCUGAAGGAAGAUCCUGGGGAAGGUGGAGUAGCUACAGGCCUGGCUGCAGGUCUGCCUGCUGCCCCAUACCAACGAGGUGAGCCAGCAGAUAAAUGACAACAUGUGUGAACUGCAACAGUGCCUGGUGCCCCUGCACCAACCUUCCAAGUAAAAACAAUGUGCUGCUGCUUCACUUCUGCCCUCCAGUUAUGAUGCUAAAUGUUUCUUGUGGCCCGUCCUAACCGGAAGCAUACGGGGAAGGGAGUACUGGGAAACGUAGCCUAGUCAAGGUGACACAUUACAAAGCUACCCUGCCGUGAAUCAGCUCCCAAGGGUCUCACUACUCACCUGAGGAUUACUUGAUAACGCUACGUUGCUGAAAAUGCAGAGCUGAAGACCAUGGAUUUCAUGGUGAUCCCAGCAAGAUCAGAAAUUCUGUCAAGCCCAACCAGAAAAAAUCUUGCUGGUCUCGGUAUUUUUGUGUCAGUCAAGUCUUGAGAACCUGGCCUAUGUAGGGACUGUACUUAAUACUGGGGUUCAGGAAUGAACAAGAUAAAGUCCAUGCAUUUUUAUUAAAUACAUCCGUAUGUAUUUACAAAUGGUGAAUGGAUUUCCAGCUUUAUCAUGGAACUUAAUGGUGAAAAUACAGAAUUCGGGAAGCUGUUGGGAGGACCUCCCUUGUGUGAACCUUGUUGGGGCCCAAUAGGCAUUGGGAAUAAUAUAAAUAGUUUUUAUCUUUAUGCUGUUCUAUUUUAAAAUUAUUUUUAAAUGAUUUUAUUGUCCCAUGUACUGAUUUAUACACUUAGUGUUUCUUUUGAGAAUGUCUUGAUGGUGCUUAAGUGUUGAUUGACUGCCUCUGAGAAAGUGGUAUAGUGGUUCACAAGCAGGAUCAAGGUCAGGUUCUAUCCAAGGACCUUAGAUGAAUCACUUCUCUUAGGCCUGCAGGGGGACUUGGUCCCACCAGGCUUGGCACCUGGCCUGGCUCCUCCACUCUCUGAAUGUGCCCGCCAGGGGCCACUGGGAUUUCGGUCUUACCACCAGGGCUUGAAAGACGCUGUCCGUCAUCCCUGGCUUGGGCAGCCCUGGGGCGUGACCUCCACCUGGCAAGACUUUCUGUCCCUGAGCUGGCUUGGAGGGGGAAGCCAACUCUCCUCUUCGCAAAAACUCAGCAGGCAAAACCAAACUGGAACUAAAUUAUGGGGCGCGCCAGGGUGAGGGCACGGCACGUGCUCAGGACUGAUGCUGGGAUGUUCCAGGGCAGCCAGGUGUCGCCAAGGGUCUUCUUCUGAUGCUGAAAAUUCAAUGGGAUCCUCUGAGCUGUAGGACCUUGGAGGUUCCUGAUGAGUGCCUGAAUCUCAGUGGCUUUUACCAAACCCUUACCCCCUGUUGAGGGCAUUUUCAUUGCCUCCCAUUUACCCCAAGGCUGUGGUGUCAAGGGUGGUUCCAUCCAGACCAGCCAGCUGGCCAGGUACUCCUGGGACACGAAGAUCAAGGAACCGGCCCUCAGGCCCCCCACCAGGAAACAGACGACCAUCUAAUUUCUUUCUUUUUUGUUUGUUUCAGGCUACGUAAACUCUUAGCAGUAAAUGAAAAUGAGUAUUUUACUGAACUGCAAUUGAAAGAAGAAGCAUUAUAGGAGAUUAAAGACAAAAUGAGAAUUUUUAAAAGAUUGUAAAAGAGAAGAGAGACACUAUUUUGUGGCUGAGAAAGGCUGAACCAGCAAUUCAGGAAAUGGAGUCCAAACCUAGAAACGUACCGCAUACAAAAUCUGAAGUAGGCGGAUUAUAAAUGAUUAAGGAAUGCCAGUCUAUAGUAAAUUGCGGUGUUAAAAUGGGAUGCACAGUAUUAGUUGUAUUUUGGUUAUUACACGUUAGUGACCGACUAGGUGCUGAUUUUUUUUCUGUGCUGUAAUAAUAGUUUUAUGUUCGCCAUCACUUUAGAAUGAGAGGACCAAAGUGUCAUUCUUAUUUGGCUUUUAGGUAAUUAACUGCCACCUUGCUCUUGACCAGAAUUACAGCUGUGGUCUCCGUUUGUGCUGAGGGCCCCUUCUGGGUUUCCUGACCUGUGUUUGUUUUCCUGCCUGGGAUCCGGAAUCUCAGAGCCUGAUUACUUUCCAUUCUGAUCCACAUACUAGCCCUGGCCCUGGUUUUUUCUGCUUCUGGCCAGGUUGUAUCACUGCACUGCCAGCCCCUCUGAUCUGCCCCUCCCAUUCCUAGGGUACUGUCAAGUCUAAACCCUUGUUUCCUGAUGUUAUUAACACAUUUUUUGGUUACCGGUUGGGUUGGCCGACAAAGCAGUUGGGCACGCUCAGCUUUAAUCGUUUUAACUGUAAAAUCAGGAUAAAACCUGCUGUCCCAUCAACCUUUUAUUUGUGAGGCUCAAAGUUUUUAUGUGUGAAAAUACCUUGCAAAUUCCUGUAAAGAACUAGGCAAAUAAGGAUGUCCUCCAAAUUUAACCCGCCCACAAAAUGCCCAUUAACCUUUCUCAUGCUUUUAGACUGAUUACGGAAUAUAAAUAGCAAAGUCAAUUUUAAUGAAAUUAGAUCUUCGACUUCACUUCGGGUUAAGGAGGCCUCUUUUUUUCCUGCUAUUCGAUGAACCUUAUGCGAAGGGAACGAGGUCGGCGGGAGGCCUGGCCAAGGGCGGGGUGAAGACUGAGCCGACUCAGCUCUUCCGCUCCAAGAGGAAGUCGCGAGUGCUGGCGUCUCUGGUCACCAUGGUGACGGGACCAACUUCCGUCCCACUCACCUGCCUCUAGCCCCGCGAGGCGCACCAUGGCAACCAGGCUUGUGCGUCGCGGAAGCUGGUCACCCGGUUUGCAGUGGUUGGGGAAACGGCGGACGCCGUCCCCCAUCCCUAAGGGACUCGAAAAUGUACAGUCAGCGGUUUGGCAUCGUACAGCGGGAAGUUAAGGGCCCCACUCCCAAAGUGGUGAUCAUGGUAAGCACGGGGUGUGUAUGCGGGACCCUACCGCUUUCUGCAUCUUCCCCCAGCUCAGCCCACCCUGGACUCUCACGGGAACAGGUGUCUGAUGCUGCAGCUUGAAUUUUGGAAGAGGGCAGGGUAAGGUCUCUUGCCUAGCUCUCCUGCUCUAUCUCUCCCUAUCUCCCCAAACCCCGUGUCAGUUAAAAUAUUUAGUUUCUGUAUUUGGAGAAUCACCGCUUGAGAUCUUGAGGAUUUUCAGUCUUACAAGACUUCUGAAAGAGAUUGUCCUCUUGAGGUGAGAAGUGUGUGUCAAGGAAAGGGGGCUGGGCCAGGUGACAGGAAAUCUGGGGUCUGGGCUGCCAGUGAUUCAGCUGUUUGAUCCUGGGCUAUGUGUAGACCCCUUGGAAAAUUGUGGAAGGAGGAUUGGGCUGUGAGGGGUUGUGUGUGGUUGUAGAGCCUUUCCUUUGUUGACUCAAGGGUAACAGAAGUAUCCCUGCAGGCCUGGAAAUAGGAGGUUGCUUGCCUUUGCCUUUAAGGCUGGGGUGGUGGUAGGAGGGCAGGGGAAUGCUGCAUGCUGCAGGAUUUGAUGGGUCUAGCUCAGAACCCCAAACACUUGGCCCCUGCACCCACAUCCCUUUGUUCCUACACACUACAGGCUGGAAAACCUCCAUGUGUAGUUAGGCAAUUGUAGCGGUAUUACUUGAGUCCCUGCUGUAUGCACAGCUCUGUGGGAGAUAGAGGGGUGGAUACAGGGGAAGUCUGCUCCCUCUUCUCUAGGUCCAAGGACUAUAGGAUCCGGAAAUCAGUUGCCUGUAGUCUAUUACAGUCUACAGGGUUCAAGGUGAUCAUUAUAGACAAAUUUUAUUAGGGACAGAAAUUGAUGUACUUUGGCUUCUGUAUCCAAACACAGAGCUUAGGGACUGGGCUGUUUGUCAGGUCUUAUUACCUGUGUUGGGACCCAAUAAGGAUUUCUGUUCUACCAACUUAUUACCAACCAGAGAAGCAGGUCUGUUGAAUACUUUGAGUUAUAGAAGAAUAAAAAGGAAAAGGAAAAAGUCAGAGCUAGUAUGUCUCAGAUGCCAGAGUUGAUAAGAAGUGUGAGUGGUAGUGGUUGCAAAGUUGUGGUGGGAGAAGAAUUAAAGCCACCAGACAUGAGACUCGGAUGCUAAACAAUUCCUCCAGGAGAAGGUGGUGAAAGAUGUAUUGCAUGAAGUAAUGGAGAAGCAAAAGGAGCAGCUGUUUGAGAGCCAAGCCUCCUAAAGGCCAAGGGGCAGAGCAACAUCUGGAAAGAAUCCGACACAGCCAUCAGAAACAUCAUGUUAUUUUGGCUUCCACCAAGUCAAAUGAGCGGGAUCGCUUGAAAGCUGAGUGGGACCAGCACAAUGACCGCAAGUUUGUAGACAGUCUUGUGAAAGCAAGAAUCAAGGAUGCCAUGCAAGGGUUUAUCAUCAACACUGAAGAAAGACGAAAUAAGUUACGUGAACUUUUAGCAUCAGAAGAAAAUGAGUAUUUUACUGAAAUGCGAUUGAAAGAAGAAACAAUUGAGGAGAAAAAAGAUAGAAUGAAAGAUAAAACCAGAUUAUUAAGAGAGAAGAAAGAGAAAGAGAGACAGGAUUUUGUGGCUGAAAAGCUAGACCAGCAAUUCAGGGAAUGCUGUGAAGAGCUCCGUGUUGAGUUGUUUUGUAUCCAUCAGAAGGCAGUGUGUGAAGAGCGGAAAGCUCAGAUAGCAUUUAAUGAGGAGCUGAAAAGACAGAAACUGGUGGAAGAGCAGAUGUUCUUAAAGCUCUGGGAGGAAGACCGACUGGCGAAGGAGAAGCGAGAAGUGGAAGAAGCAAGGAGACAGAAAGAACUGGUGGAGAAUACACGCCUGGGGCUGAAUGCUCAGAUCACCAGCAUCCAGGCACAAAGGCAGGCAGCACGGCAGCUGAAAGAGGAGGAGGCCCGCCUCGUGGAAAACAACAAAGCACAGGUGAAACUUGAGAAUGAACAGGAUAAGCUAAAGAAACAGAAGACAAAACAGGAAAUAAGGGCUGUUUUGCAAAAAGCCCUCCAAGAGAAAAUGGAGCAAAUUCAGCAGGAAUACAGAGAAGAGCAGGACUUGAACAUGAAACUCACACAAAACGCCCUUCAAAACCUACAGGAAGAGGCUGAUAAAAAGAAGCAAAAAAGAUGCAACGAAAAGCAAAAGAACAGGAGGAACGUGCUAUGGAACAGGAACGCAUAAAUGAAGGUCUUAAAGAGCUUAACCGUGAAGAGCAGGAGAAUUUUGCAAGGCGCUCCAGUUUAGCCCAGGAAUACAGGAAGCAACUUCAGAUGCAAAUAUGCUCUCGGCAGCAGGCCCGGGAAGCAGAGAAAGAAGAGGAACGCCGAGAGUUUGAAGCGG